rnacentral:rRNA from 1 species
AACGAACGCUGGCGGCAUGCCUAACACAUGCAAGUCGAACGAGACCUUCGGGUCUAGUGGCGCACGGGUGCGUAACGCGUGGGAAUCUGCCCUUGGGUUCGGAAUAACAGUUGGAAACGACUGCUAAUACCGGAUGAUGACGUAAGUCCAAAGAUUUAUCGCCCAAGGAUGAGCCCGCGUAGGAUUAGCUAGUUGGUGAGGUAAAGGCUCACCAAGGCGACGAUCCUUAGCUGGUCUGAGAGGAUGAUCAGCCACACUGGGACUGAGACACGGCCCAGACUCCUACGGGAGGCAGCAGUGGGGAAUAUUGGACAAUGGGCGAAAGCCUGAGCCAGCAAUGCCGCGUGAGUGAUGAAGGCCUUAGGGUUGUAAAGCUCUUUUACCCGGGAUGAUAAUGACAGUACCGGGAGAAUAAGCUCCGGCUAACUCCGUG